UAAGGUUACAAAUUAGAAGUGCAUUCUCAGCUCACACCGAGAACAUGCUGGUGACUCUUUGUGCUCUCAUCACUGCUCUGACAUGUGUGAGUGGUGUGACAGUGGUGACACAGAAAACUGUGCUAUCAGUGAGCAAAGGAGAGACAGCCACCAUGGACUGUAACCUGGGGACUGUUACUGGCAGUGCUGCUCGGUGGUAUAAACAGAUUCCAGGAGGAGUUCCUCAGUAUGUGCUGCGGUUUUAUCAUGGAAAUACAUCUCCAACCUAUGGCUCUGGAUUCUCCUCUCCAAAAUUCACAUCCACUCAUCAGUCAACAUCAGAUUAUCGUUUUAUCAUCAUCAAUGUGGAGGAGGGAGACUCUGCAGUCUAUUACUGUCACACAUGGGAUGACUCUGCUAAAGAGCAUGCAUCACAGUGAUUUACACCAUGACAAAAACCUCCUCACUGUUACUUCUGCUUUUUUUUCCCAGUGAGCAGUGGGAUCUCUACCAGCACUGCUGUUCCGACACCAGCACAGACUUUCCAAAUCAGCAGUGUCUUUGUGAAAACCAUCAAGACACCAGAAUGUAACACUUAAUAGAUACCUGUGUAACGCAUGUGCUGUUUGCUCAUUUGUUUACAUUUUAGAAAUCACAAAAAAGGUGUGAGUGACACAGAAACCUCCUGCUGUAUCAGUGUGAAAAGGAGCGACAGCAAGCUCGGACUGUAACCUGAGGACUG